AAUGACUUGCUCUACACCCUCUUCUAGAAUACUUGCAUUCUAAAGGAUUGGAGAGUUGAUGAAGUAUCGAUGCCAAGCCCUUUACAUUUGUGGAUUGAUGGAUGCUCUGAUUUGAAGAUGCUUCCAAAAGGACAAUAAGAAGUUGGAGUUGUGGAUCAUGCAUUCAUAAUUCAAAGCCAUGUUUCGAGAAGAUGAAGGAAAGAUUGGCAUAAGAUUCAACAUAUAUUCGUCAGCGACUAGGCGAUUAUUAAGAUGUGAUGCCAUUAAAUUCAUCACUUGCAUUUCCUCUACUUGUGAGGUAAAUUGCUAGCUGUAUCUUGUGGUUCACCUCACUUGGGCUUCUUACUGUCCUAUGGGCAUUUGUCAUUGGCCUUCUUACAAUCAUCCUUCAUUCAAAUUUUACAACACCUAAUCUGAAAGCUCGUCUGAACACGUUCCUCAAGGAGUUUCGUGCAACUAAUUAGAUAAAUAACCUUUUUUAUUGGUAUUGUGCUUUUAUGA